AGAACGAACGCUGGCGGCAUGCCUAAUACAUGCAAGUCGAACGAACACUUCGGUGUUAGUGGCGCACGGGUGCGUAACGCGUGGGAAUCUGCCCUUGGGUUCGGAAUAACAGUUGGAAACGACUGCUAAUACCGGAUGAUGACGAAAGUCCAAGGAUUUAUCGCCCAGGGAUGAGCCCGCGUAGGAUUAGCUAGUUGGUGAGGUAAAGGCUCACCAAGGCGACGAUCCUUAGCUGGUCUGAGAGGAUGAUCAGCCACA
rnacentral:rRNA from 1 species